rnacentral:rRNA from 1 species
GCCGCGGUAAUACGUAUGGGGCAAGCGUUGUCCGGAUUUACUGGGCGUAAAGGGCGCGUAGGCGGUUUGUUAAGUCGAAGGUGAAAUCCUCGGGCUCAACUCGAGAAUUGCCUUCGAUACUGGCAAACUAGAGUGGCGGAGAGGAAAGCGGAACUCUUGGUGUAACGGUGGAAUGUGUAGAUAUCAAGAGGAACACCGGUGGCGAAGGCGGCUUUCUGGACGCACACUGACGCUCAGGCGCGAAAGCGUGGGUAGCAAACAGGAUUAGAUACCCUGGUAGUCCACGCCAUAAACGAUGGGUACUAGGUGUCGGGGGUAUCGACCCCUCCGGUGCCGCAGUUAACGCGCUAAGUACCCCGCCUGGGGAUUAUGGUCGCAAGGCUGAAACUCAAAGGAAUUGACGGGGCCCCGCACAAGCGGUGGAGCAUGUGGUUUAAUUCGACGCAACGCGAAGAACCUUGCCUGGGCUUGACAUGCUUGGGACAGCGCUGGAAACAGCGUCUCUCCUUCGGGAGCCCUUGCACAGGUGCUGCAUGGCUGUCGUCAGCUCGUGUCGUGAGAUGUUGGGUUAAGUCCCGCAACGAGCGCAACCCUCGUUACUAGUUGCCAUCAGUUCGGCUGGGCACUCUAGUGAGACUGCCGGUGAUAAACCGGAGGAAGGUGAGGAUGAUGUCAAGUCAUCAUGGCCCUUACGCCCAGGGCUACACACGUGCUACAAUGGUCGGCACAAAGGGUCGCUAAGCCGCGAGGUGGAGCUAAUCCCAAAAAGCCGGCCUCAGUUCGGAUUGGAGUCUGCAACCCGACUCCAUGAAGGCGGAAUCGCUAGUAAUCGCGGAUCAGCAUGCCGCGGUGAAUAUGUUCCCGGGGC